GUGACUGCCGUUCUCCUCCCUCCCGGAUCAGUCCGCAUGUUCAUGGCGCCAGCAUUUGUUAUGGAAUAUAUUGAGCAAACGUGGAGAUAUUAUUGUUGUCAUUGCUGUGGAUCUUUACUGACUUGGCUCGGGACCAGCACUCCUGUUGUUGGACAGAAAGACAUCAACUUGAGAUAUGACUGCACUAUGCUGUUGCUGUGACUCCAGUUAAUUCUACAAGACAUGCUGUGACACCAGGAGAGAUGAGUCCCCCGUCACAGAUGGUCAGUGAAGAUGGUCGCCUGCAGGUUCAAGCUCAUUGCAUCUCCAACCCACAUCCACUGCCACUGUACUUAAGGGAAGUUAAAGACUUUCUUCUGCACUUACAUUUGGAUCACCUCGAUCCAUGACAGUCAUUCAGGCAGUGAUGCCUGGACUGGAAACAAGCAUCCUUAAAAUAUUACAACAUUCCAGCUCCUGUGUUGGAAUGCAAAACAAAUGUGUUGUUUAAAUUAGAGACUGCACUUGUGACAGAACAAUAAAUAUUUGAUGUUGAUUAUAUAAAUAAUGUAAGUACAAAACAAACUUGUGGUAGGCCUAAACUUAUUUUCAGAAUAAUUACAUCUAAGACUUUGUUUCGUUUUAAGAUUAUAACAGUGAUGGCAAUAUCAUUUUUAUUCAGCAGAACAGUGUCCAG
rnacentral:lncRNA from 1 species